UACGGGGGGUGCAAGCGUUAUUCGGAAUUAUUGGGCGUAAAGGGCGCGUAGGCGGUUGAAUAAGUCAGAUGUGAAAGCCCUUGGCUUAACCAAGGAAGUGCAUUUGAUACUAUUUGACUUGAGUAUGGGAGAGGGAAGUGGAAUUCCUGGUGUAGAGGUGAAAUUCGUAGAUAUCAGGAGGAACACCGGUGGCGAAAGCGACUUCCUGGACCAAUACUGACGAUGAGGCGCGAAGGCGUGGGGAGCAAACAGG
rnacentral:rRNA from 1 species